UUUUAUUGACUUUUUUGUCUAGGUUUUGUUCCAUUUGGUUCCAUUCUAGGUGUCUAGGAUAUCCAGCCUCAAGUUUGUGGUCAUCCAAGCAAUGUCAGGGGUGGGCUUCCUCCAGUGCCAUAGGACUUAAGCUGGAUUGCUCAUUGGCUGGCCAUUCUGCUGAUUUCUGCUAGACCUUUAACACAGCACAUCUUGUAGAUGGAACAAAUUGACCGUGACCUGAGAUUGUAUAAGGGAAAUCAGUUCCUGAAGGGGCUAUUUAACCCAUUAGGAUGGCUUGACUAUCUUCAUUUGAGCUCCCCAUAAAAGCUUGGGAACAGAGGAGGGAGAGAACUAGGAUAAGGAAAGCUGUUUGAACUCAGUUCACUGGGCCAGAUAGGACGAUGUUCACAGAGGCGAUAGAAAAACUGAGCCAGUGGGGACUUUAAAGCUGUUGAGAGCUUUAGCAGCUUUACUGAGUGCUUUGAUGGGCCAAGAUCUUUAUAAAGCAGGACAGACUUCUCCAGAUCUCCGUGACUUAGACCAGCAUCUAAAGAGGUUCCAUGAAAUGAAAGAGCAACCUAGAGAAGAGAUGAAAAAGACAAAGGAGAAGAAGACGUCUUCUGGGUUACUCGAAGAUAAAUGUGGCUGGAUGUGGUCAGGCUGAUAAUUAUCCCCUCUCCCAGAGUAAGGGGGGGUACAUUUUCCUAUAGCAUAAGUAUUUUUCUAAGGGUGGAGAUUGUUUACCCAGCCAGGAACUCCGCUCAAGACAAGAUGUAGUGGAUGAAGAAGCAACAGCUCCACCUCCGGCUCCGGCUCCGACUCCAGCUCCAGCUGCAGCCACAGUUUGAACUCAGGGCUGCUCUCACCCACGGAGACCGCAGAUGGCCUGAUCAUUAGAGAAACCACAAUAUUGAAACCACCUACUAUUAAUGGGUUUGAUGUUAAUCUGUAUCUUUAAACAUAAUAACACAUGUUUUACUUUUGAAAUUCUGCACUUCAAAGUUUGGUGCAUAUAUGUUUAUAAUAUUAUUUGUCUUCUUGGUUAACAGCUCCCUUGGUUAGAAUAAAGUGGCCUCUUUAUCGCUUCUGAUUAGUUUUAUUUUUAGCUCUAUUUACCAAAUGCCAGGGAAGCAGCACUUGCCUGCUUCCUGGUCCCAUUUUAUUGGAAGGUUUUUAAUCCAUUCUUUAUCUACAAGGCAGCAUGUAUUUUUAAAGUCAUGAUGUGUUUUUUUGCAGAGAGCAGGAACAUUUCUUGAUCCACUCAGUCAGAUAUUGUUUUUUCAUUGAACAAUUGAGGAUUUCGAUAUUUGAAGUUAUUAUUGAAGCCUAUGCUAAUUGUUGUCUUAGUAUUGUUAUUUGUUUCCUUGGUGGUGCCUUGUGUUUUAAUAAUUAUGGCUAUGGAUUUCUUUCUACAAACUCUCUGCUAUGCUUAUUCCUCUUGUCAGGCCUAAAUAUUGCUUCUUAUAUUCUCUUUUGGUUUAAUUUGUUUCUAAAUUUUUGUUUUUGUUUUGUUUUGUUGGCAAUGUAUAGCAUGGAAUAUUUUUCUUUCUCUUUCAAUAGUUAUCAGACAGUUUUUCUGGAUCUAUUAGUCUAUUAGCCAUAGACUAAGUUUAAGGCUUGGAAUGCAUUGUUCCACAUUCUUCUGGCUUUCAAUAUUUCUGUUGAGAAAUCAUCUGUUGUUCCGAUGACUUCUCCUUUGUAUGUGGCUUGCAGUUUUUCUCUUCCUUUUUCAAUAUAUUUUCUUUGUUAUGUAUACUUUGUGUUUUAACUAUGAUAUGCCACAUGGAUUUAUUUCCUGUCUAUUUGAUGUUCUGUUCACUUUUUUAUCUAUAUAGGUGUGUUUUUCCUCAAAUUGGGAAAGUUUACAAAUGUUCUUGUUGAAGAUCUGGUCUAUGUUAUUGAUGUGGGAUUUUUCUCUUUCAUCUAUGCCCUUAAUUUGUAAAUUUUAUUGUUUUCAUGGUAUGCCACAUUUCCCAUAUUUUCUUUUCCUGUUUUUUUCCAUAUUAUUUGCUUAUUUGGUUUUGUCUCUCCUUUAUCUUUGAACCCUGAUGUCCUAUUUUCUGUUUGAUUCAUUCCACUUGUAAGACUUUCCUUUGAGUUUUCUAGCUGAUUGACUGGGUUUUUCAAUUCCGUCUUUAUUUCAGUUUGAUUCAUCUUCAAUGUUUUUUCUAUAUCCUUAUACUGAAUUCUGACCUCUAGUGUUGGAUUGUCCUUUUUAUUUCUAGUAGCCUUAUGUUUGUAUUUUUGGGGCAUCAUUUGGGUCUUUUUUUUUUCUUUAAGCUAUUUCUUCUAAGUUUUGUGUCCUGGGUUCAUCUAGUUGUUUAUCAUGGGUAAACAUUUGCAAAGGACUUGUAGUAUUGAGAGAGGAGAUGAUGACUUGAUCUUUUGUGUUGUUUAUGAGAUCUGGGCUUGUUGACUUCUUUCAUUAGUUCUAAGUCUUAGGUAUAGAACAGAUUAAGGCACAAUAGAGGAUUGUGUUGGGGGGCUAGAGGAUAGAAAUAUUUUUAUUGGUGGAAUUUACUCAGGUGGAUAGAGGAGUCUGGGAUUGUGUAUACAAUUUGUAUCCUGGUCCAAUCCUGGAGUAUAAAAGUAGACCUGCUGGAUGGAAUGGCGUGAUAUGGUAUGAGAGAAGCCCUUCAAUUGAGAAUUGGAAGGGAGGUUCCUGGAUGAACUCAAGAGAUCAUUUGUGGUCAGGCAAGGGUGGCUAGAUUGCUAUAAACUUUAGAUGUGUGGGCUAUCUCUGCUGUGUCAUGGGGAGUUCAUAAAUAGGUAGGGUGAGAAACCUCACUGUGUUAUACAUUGGAGAAAGACUUGGGCUCUAUGGCUGGUGGGAAGUAUGGCUGAAAUCCAGAAAGGAUCUGGGGUUGGUGACAGGUUGUAUGGGUAAGAAGGAUAUGGAUGAUCUGUCUGGGUGGUGAGACUGGCUGUGAUGCAAAAGAUACCCAUAGUUGUGGGACAUAACCUGGAAGAAGUCUAGAUGUUCAUUGCAGUGUAGACAGGGAUGAUCAGAUUAGUCCAGGAUACUAGAUAUGUGGCAUAGGCUAGAUCUGGUGGGUUGAGAAAGUGUGGGUAGGGAGAUCAGGGAGACCCACUGGGCCACAUCCUGGAAAAGAAAUGGGGGUUCUGGCUGGUUAGAAAUGUUGGAUGUGACACUUGCAAUAGACUUUAAGGGGAGAAACUUAUGAGAUACCUGUAGGUCAUUGAGAGUAUGACCUCAGGAAAGUGACUGCUCCCCAGAGAGAGCUAUACCAAAGUUACUUAAUGUAAAAACCCAAACGUGAGCACUUCAUCCUCUCUGUCUUCUGUUUAUAAAAGUAAGUGAGCUAUGCUCCUUGUAAACACUCCC
rnacentral:lncRNA from 1 species